AUGAAUAUGAUGGUUGUUUUCCUCUGUCUCUACCAAUUGCCUUUUUUAAAGAGCACAACCUGUUGGAAGACUGACUUUGCUCCUGUAACAAAAACACGGAGUCUCGCGUUGCCUCUCAGGUCCAUAGCUACACGUAGUGCCUCUGUUGCGUUUGCAUGUUCUGCAUGUACCGUAGAGAGCUCGGAUUGUUACCUCACUGUGAUUGUCAAAAUCUGCCUCAUGGGCAAGCUAAUGGAAUCACGGAGAGUUCCAUAUUUCAACUUGGUAUUCAGAGCAACAUUACGUGCGACCUACCUCUCUCAUGGAGACCGCUAA
rnacentral:rRNA from 1 species